rnacentral:tRNA from 1 species
CGGGGUGUGACGCAGUUGGUAGCGUGCGUGCUUUGGGAGCAUGAAGUCGGAGGUUCAAGUCCUCUCACCCCGACCA